GGCGGAUGUAGCCAAGUGGAUUAAGGCAGUG
rnacentral:tRNA from 11 species